rnacentral:lncRNA from 1 species
AAGCGGAACCCAAUUCAGGUUUUCCAUCAUCGAGUUCUCUUGUAAAGAACAUUCCAUUUCUUAAGUGGUCUUCGCUCGAAAUCAACAGUACCAUAGUUGUGGAUUUUUGAAAUGGACAAGUCAACGAGAGUCUUCCUCUUCUCUGAUAAAUGUAACGGACACUGAGGCUUUGUUUGAAUGGAAGAGUGUGAGAAUAGAAGAGAGAAGAUGAAAGAGAAAGCGAAGAUUGAAUUUGAAGAGGUGUCGUCAUCAUUCUGUGAAGAAAAUUCGAAAAUGGCUAUGAAGCAUGUGGAAAAAGUUUUUGUUCAAGAUAAUGAAAA